UCUAUUAAUUGGUUGCAGAAAUAUCCGCCGACUUAUCUUAUAGCUCUAGUCCGCUUGACAUCAGACCACAUCCCUCUCCUUCUAUGCCGUUGCCCUCCAAAAUAAGGUAAUUCUCUUCUUAGCAAGCUGUUUCAAUUUGAAAACUUCUGGCUCACUUAUGCAGGUUUUGAUAAUAUGAUACAAAGUUGGUGGAACUCCGGGCCAACUUCACCUAAUGCUGUUACAACUCUUAUUCUGAAAUUUCACAU
rnacentral:lncRNA from 1 species